GCUUUCUUACAAUACCAUACACCACAAAAAUUAUUUUUCUUCUCAUUUCUUGAAAGCUCUCUCUCGUCUCUAGAAUCUAAUAUACACAGACAGUACUCUACCAUUCUAAUUCAGAAUCCUCAAAAACAAGCUACACCAAUUACUCUCUUUUCGUGUAUUUCAAGCUUUGCAUAAUGAGUAAUUGCCGUAGAAAUCAAAUUCUUCUUAUUUGGUUGUUGAUUCUGUUCAUCUUCAUUGCUGCUCAUUGCAAUGGCUCCAGAACCUCUCGUGUAUUCAAAAUCAAACCCGAAUCUCAAAAUUCAGGCCGUUUUUUAUACUUCCUGCCCAAAAGGAUCCCAAUACCGGCCUCCGGUCCAUCCAGAAAACACAAUGAAAUUGGGCUAGAGACUUGGAGAUUACCUUGAAGAAGAUACAUUACUGAACAGAAAUGAAGACAACUCUUUUGACACAAGAAAUGGCACUCUUUACAUAUUUUAGAGCCAAGAAAAACAUGUUGAAUUGAUAUUGUGUGCAUAUAUGGAUUUGUAGAAAUGCCUUCUUUUCUCAUCUUUAUUCUUUUUCAUUUCUUGCUUUGCUAACGAGGUUUUGCAUUACAUUUUUCUUUGGGUUGUUUUCUAUCUUCUGCUAGAUCUAAGGUUUAUUGAGUUAAUUAGUUGUUUUGUUUGUUGCAUUCUCCUUGUUUUCGAAUUUCGAGCUGUCAAGAAAACCCUCAUCUUUGUA
rnacentral:lncRNA from 1 species